UCAACCUACACCACAGCUCAUGGCAACGCCAGAUCCUUAACCCCCUGAUCGAGGCCAGGGAUUGAACCUGCAUCCUCAUGGAUCCCAGUCAGGUUCAUUUCAGUUGAGCCACAACGGGAACUCCUAACACCGUUAUUUAAUUCAAGCCUCACCUGGGCCAUUUAUCAAGGACUCAUCAUCUGAUUGCCUAGAUUUGAGGCUGGUACAUCCAUUUCUCAUUCAGAAAUUAAGCUGGGAGGCAUGCCAUUGCCCAUUCAGUCUUGACUAUUCCCAGAGCAUCCCCAAAACCCAUUUUUUCUCAAAGAAAAUGAAACAUACACAUACCAAGACAUUUUCAAGUUAAAUAGGCACCGAACAGACAUAUUUCUGCCAAGAGUAAUCUCAGCUCUGCUCAAAGCUGGUUUAUAGGACUGUAAAUUGGGACCAGUCUCUGCUUCUUAGCCUAUAGGGCAGUGAGUCAGGAUUUCCUGAAAUUAAGCCGUCAUGUAAAAUGCAUUAGUGGCUUCCAGAAGACCUCACGCUUCCUCGUGCCAAGAAAUUAAUCUGUUUAAUUCCUGGCAUCUUUUCAUAUGUCCCCAGUGACUUCAGCCAGGAUUCUUCCACCAGCCUCAGAAUCAGUAUGACAAUUGCUGAAAAGCUAACUUUCUUCUAGAAACAUACGAGCCGGGUGGUGAUUGCUGCACAUCAGUGAGAGGCUGGAUUCUAAGUCUCAAUCGUUCGGUUUUAGUCAAAACCAUACUGGCUACUGGUCCAAGUUCAAUUUCUUGCAUCACUUACCCCAUUACGAUUGAGUUUCGUCCCACCUCAGACAGUAGUCUAAUUGCUAGUCCCUGGCCUCAUUCUCUUGGAACUUUCUGUACCUUUCACCUCUGCCUCUGGCAGCUUCGGCCUGCAGCACACCCCUUUUCCCUGGUUCUCGCCGUCCAUCCUUCUGGGAGGACUCUUCCUCUGCUUUCCCUAUAGAUGCGGCAAGUGGCCCCCCAUUGUCCCUCCCCUGUCCCGCAUCAGCAAUUCAAAUGGCAGCAGGUGCCAGCCGAGCAGGUAACGCCAGGGUCAGAUAUAAAGGGAGUGCGGGGCGCUCUGGCAGAGAGGGGUCGUGCCCCUGCGAGGAGGGGCGCCCACCCGAGACGCGGUCUUAGCGCCGUCUUGGCGCAUCAGCCCCUUGCAUGAAGGGGCCCGGGCCGCACGGCCGCCUCCUGACCCGCUGUUCUCAGCCCCCGGGGCGUCCUGUCCAGGACUCGGAGGACGGGACCCACCGACAGGGUGUCUCGUGAACCGCUCAACCCUGCAGAACCAAACCACAAUCACUCCCGACUUUGAGUUCAGGGGCCUGGGGUGAGUCACCCGACCUGCUGCGCUUUUAAUCUGCACAACGGGCUGGUCCCUAGAGACCCACUCCUGCUGCUGCCGGGUGCAAACAGUAUUAAGUGGCGGUGAUGUCGUUUAAAGCUUAGAUUUCCAAAAGGCCCUUUUCUGUUUUCUCCCAGAGGCAUCACCCGGGCGUCCCAAGGUUCCCUCCCACCCGAGAAACCCGCCCGGAGUGGACUUUAACCCUCACAUGGGACCCCCGUGCAGAACUCACGCGGCGCCCUUUCCACUCGCCGACGGUACUUUCUCUGCUGCCCGGGAAGUCGUGGAGCAGCCUCUUCUCCUGGGCUUAGCACCUCAAAUAGGUAUUUCUUUACCAUCUUUUCUCACUGAAGGUCGUUUUUCUAUCAGGAAACUUGUUUUACAGAAGAAUCCGAAUGAAAACCGUACAUCUGAAGGUACAUUUUCUUGUCCACUCAGGAGACAUUUUUAAAAACAGUGGAGGAGGUCCCUUCGUGGCUCAGCAGUUCACGAACCUGACUAGGAUCCAUGAGGAUGUGGGUUCGGUCCCUGGCCUCACUCAGCAGGUUAAGUAUCCAGUGUUGCUGUGAUGUAGGUCUGAACUGUGGUGUAGGUCGCAGAUGGGGCUCAGAUCCCAAGCUGCUGUGGCUGUGGUGUAGGCCAGCAGCUACAGCUCUGAUUCAGCCCCUAGCUUGGGAACCUUCAUAUGCCGUGUGUGUGGCCCUGAAAAAGCGAAAAAAAAAAAGCAAAAAAAAGUAUUUUCUUGAGAAAGUUCUGGCAAAGGUGCAUAAUCUCACACAGCCAUGUUCAUGCCCGCUGAAGCUACUACUGCUAUACCAGAGGAAUCGCUCUUGGGGGCAGGGAUGAAAAAAUCCAGCUGCUUAUUAUCCAUGAUGUGCUCACGAGGGCCGGUUCCGUUUGGCUCAAGAAUCACUGAUCCUCAUUUUGCCAAGUUCUGAACAAGUGAAGCUGCCCUUGCCCUCAGCGUGGAAUGAGAGAGGAUCCAGGCUGCCAAGGUGCCAGACACAAAGAGGCUCAGGAAGAAGCCAAGGCCAAGGCUCAGGCUUCCCACCAGCGUGCCACCCUCAGCCUCCAUCCCCCAGCCCUCUGCACGGCCCAGAUGAAAGGGUUGAAUGCCGUCUCAUCAGCCCCCUCCCUGAAGCACGGAGCCCUCCCCUCCCUGUCGCACAGGGACCUCUGCUCAAUACUCCGUCAUAACCAGAUGGGAAAAGGAGCUGAAUGAGCGUGGAGAUACCUGUGGGUAUAACUGCCUCUCCUUCCUGUGCACCCGCACCGCAACACUGCAAGUCGACUGUACUCCCACCUAAGAUGAAAACCACAAAGCAAAAAGAAUAAGCGGUUCAAAUUGCUCUUUAAAAAAAGAGAGACCCAAGGGAGUUCCUGUUGUAGCUCAGUGGGUAAAGAACUUGGCUAGUAUCUAUGAGGACGCAGGUUCGGCCCCUGGCCCUGCUCCGUGGGUUAAGGAUCCGUGUUGCUGUGGCUGUGGUGUAGGCUGGCCAGUACAGCUCCGAUUUGACCCCUAGCCUGGGAACCUCCAUAUGCUGCACCUUCGGCCCUAAAAAAGGGGAAAAAAGAGAGGGACGCAAGAGAGCUGACCCCUUCAACCACGGGAGGACACCACCAGCACAUGGCCCUCGGCGAGCCGGGGCCAGAUCUGGGGACCUUGGACUUCCCAGGCUGCAGAACUGUCAUAAACAAACCUGUGUUUUUCAGCCACCCAGUCGUGACACUUCGUGACAAGAAGCCCAGUCUGACUAAAAUCAUCUCCUUCUUUCUAACAGGGAGGGCAACUCAGGUCUGGGGCACCAGGUAGCGUUUGCAUCUCACCCCGCGCUGUCCCUUCUCUUCUCCAGAGGAGAUGCAGUCCACCGUUCAGCUCCUGGCUGCUCCUGACCUGCGGGCCAGAGACCCCAGCUCCUUCCGCAGGCCCUUUAUCUGCAACCAGCCAGCAGGAGCCCCUCAGUAUUCUGAGAUCAGGACUGCAGCUCAGCCUUCAAAUAAAUCAGCUUAAUUCCAGGACAGCCUGAGUAAGAGCAAAACAUUGGUCAGAAAAGAACUGGAAGCCCUGAUCCCAGAAGCACGCGAUCCUCCUUCGAGCAAAGUCCUUUCCGAGAAGGUGGUAAAUGUGGGCCUGAGUUUGCUGAAGGCCCCCUUCCUCCCGUCCCCCCACGCGACACACCCUGCUCCCCUUUGCACGUGGAGGAAGCAGGGCUCGGAAGGGUUUGCAGUUGGCAUCGUCUGAGGUCGUUUCCCCUCCAUCACCCACGGGAGCAUCUGGUCUCUCGUGGGCCAUGCGCUCCAAGGCAGAGGCCCACACGGCCGCUUGCUCCUCCUCCGUGACAAGGAGCAGAGAAACACCAGGUAAAACCCAACUUCUGGGACAAACAACCAGCACCAGAAUGGACUUGGAAAGGGCAUGUUUCUCCCCCAAAAGCCUCUAUUCAAGGACCGAGAUGUCCAGCGUCUCGGCCAGGAGGCCACCUGUGACCCUCUAGACGAAGAAGGGUCAUGUUUCAUCAAAGGGAAGCCUGUGUCAGGAGUCUUGCUGUGUCAUGCACGCAACAGAAUGCAGCCCAAGGCAAACCGCGAAUUGAACAGCAAACCUCACCGAGGAGCCCUAAGGCUGUGUGGCUGCAGGUGCGUCUGGAGCAGGAGCCGGCCAGCUGCGUCUCGGUGCCUGUGUUUGUGGCGUUUCACGGGCGCACAGCAGCCCUCACUCUUUCACGUGUUGUCCACGGCUACUUUCAGGCGACCAGGGCAGCACUGCAUGCUUGCAAGAGAGGCCACAUGGUCAGCCAAGCCUAAAGUAUUAUUAGGUGGCUCUUCCUAGACCUCAGGGCUCAGGUAUGUCACCAGGAUUCGCUAAGCUCUUGCCCUCGGUUCUGCUCUAAGACGGCUUCACAUGCGUCUCCAGCUCUUGCCAAAAUCCGAGGGUUUACUCUAAACUGACAGCUUGGUUGAGGUACCCGUCCUCGGAUCGGUGCCUCUUGGCUAUGAAGUUGGAUCUUCACUGAGGCGCUUAGGCCGGGGACACAGCAUCCUGGUGCUGAGGUUGGACCAGCCGCCCCAAGCUACACGGCUCGGGAACAGGGAGGGCUGUCCAAGGGGAAGGAAGGCCGGAAAGGCAACAUCCACAAGUGUCCCCUGUAAGACCGCUCCCUCCUCCUCCUUGUGGUCGCAUCGUCUCAAGGGAUGCUGACAAGCCCCUGUGCAAUUUCAGGACCCUUUAAAGAGUGUUUACUGAUGAGGUUUCAGUGCCAGAUAAGGUACUAAGUACCGAAUAAAUAUUACCUCUUUAUCCUCCAACAGCUGUAAACGCUAGGCAUUUUUAUUUCCAAUUUACUAAUGAGGUGAAUAAGGAUGAGAGACAGAAUAGCUUGGUCUUAAGUCCACGGCCAGGAUCGGGACCGAGAGCUGCCGGACUGUCACCUCGAACUGCGCUGCCUCAGCCUCAUUUCUGGGAAUUCCCUACCACAGCCCUGGCGCCUGAAUGGUGCUCGUCAGUGAACUGGUGACCCGCUGGUGACAUGCAGCUGACUCACUGGGUGACUUUUAGUAAGUUACUUAAUCACUGUUUGGAAUCUGUUUCUUCAUCUGUAACUUUAACAGUUCAAACUACCCCACUAGCAGAGGGGGCUCCGUGUCUGUGCCUUCGAGUUUGCCAGGGAGCGGGGGGAACCCUGCAAGUGCUGCUCUCCCCCCAUUCAUCCAAUCACGUCAUCUUUCCUGCUUGCCACUGGGCUCCUUCGUAAGUCUAAUGUACAAAGAGUAAAGCUUUCUGCUGUGGGGAAAAAAAAUUAACCUUGGGACUAGAUGACCCUGAGGCUCUGUCAAUAUCUGUGCUUGUUCCUGGACCUCUCUCCCUGUCUGUGUCCUGGGAGGCUGACCUGCCCAGGUGGAUGCACCCGGAGCUUCUCUGUGCUCUGGCUUCCUAUUGGGUUUGGUCAAUAGGAACAUAGCAGAUAAAAGAUGAAAGAGAGAGCGUGGGGUAUGAUGCCUCGGGCUCGGCGGCUAGGUUCAAAGCCACAGCUGCUAGUGCGUGGUCCCCUCCAUCAGCUCUGUUUGGGAGGCUGCUCCAUCCUCUGCCCCACUCCCAUCUAGGAGCAGUGCUGGCUCGCUGCCCUGGGGUACGUCACCACCCCUUGGAAUCUUGUUGCAAUGAGGUUGUGGCUGCUUUAUGAGGCCAUUGCUGUAAAGAGGCCCUUCUUUGAGCGUCCUCCUGGAGAAGGUGCUCAAUGUGGCCAAAGCAGGAAGACCCAGCACUCCGGGCCCCCCACGGAAUCGCCACGACUACAGCUACUUACAGAGUGUCUCCGAGGACAACGUGAAGAGCAGCAGCAACGAUCUUCCAUAACUGAAGAUAUGAGAAAAAAAAUCCACAACGAAACAGGUAGGAGGGACGGAGACGCGGUCUGGUGGGGCUCACAGCCCUGGGUCAGUGGCCCACGAACGGGAGGAGUAUUACAAUCGCCGACGUCGUCGCCAAGGAGCAAAGGGACUGGGCCCCACAUCAGGCUCCCCAGUCAGGGGAGCACGGGGCUGAUGAGCCUGCAGAACGCCUGGCCUUGAAAACCAGCGGGGCUUUCAUGAAGAGCCAGAAGGCUACGGGAAACAGCCUCAGCUCUUAAAGGGCACCCGCAGAAUCCCACAUGCUCCGAAUCUCAGGGCAGAGGCAGCCGUCUCAAAGGAGCCUGAGUCAGAUCUGCCUGAUCUUGGAGAGCCUCCUAGAGACAAGAGGUGACUGGGAUUUCCCCUGGGGAUGGGGAUGCUGGAGGCAGCCCUUUAGAGGAGCUUGUUUGACCUUGAUAAUGCUGUGCUUGAUGGAGCC
rnacentral:lncRNA from 1 species